UACAGAGGUCCCAAGCGUUGUUCGGAUUCACUGGGCGUAAAGGGUGCGUAGGCGGUCAGGUAAGUCUGAUGUGAAAUCUCUGGGCUUAACCCAGAAAUGGCAUUGGAUACUAUUUGGCUUGAGAGUUGGAGGGGGGACUGGAAUUCUUGGUGUAGCAGUGAAAUGCGUAGAUAUCAAGAGGAACACCAGUGGCGAAGGCGAGUCCCUGGACAACUUCUGACGCUGAGGCACGAAAGCUAGAGGAGCAAACAGG
rnacentral:rRNA from 1 species